AGCGCUGCUACGGGCCGCCCAGCGAAAGGCACCAUCCACCUCCUUCUGAACCUGCCGCUUCUGACAUCGUGCAUCGCCCUCCCGCUUUCCGUUCUCGAUCCGCAGAACGACCCGGGCCUCUUCCCGGCACUUGGCCAUCGCCCGUCCCUACCGUCGCGCUCCGGCCGCCGGGGCCUAACAAGCUCAGGACGAGAUGGCCGCCGCCCAGGCGCUGCAGCGGCACCAGCCCUCGGCUCCUGCCCCGUCUGCGUGUCUGUGCGCUUGGGCCGCGGGUCACUGCCGCGAGGGCCGAAAACCUACCGGCACAAGGCUGCUUCGGCUCCCGGGGCAGCCGGGGAGCGGAGGCCUGCCUCUCCCGGGCGGGUUAAGGCGAGCCCGUUCCCCCAGCCUCAGGCCUCCCGCGCGUCCCCCCGCUCGCCUGACAACCGCCAAGGGCGCUUCCCGCUCCCCACCCGCCCCCAGGACGGCGCGGCGGCCCGGCAGGCCCCCCCCCCGCCCCAGCCCCGGCGGUACCUGCGCGGCGGCGGGCGGCGGCCCCCGCUCGUACAGCGCGGCGGGCGCCCGGGUGCGCGGGUCGAGCGGGGUGCGGAGGCAGGAGGCGGCCAGCAGCGCCGCGCGGUGAGCCGCCUCCAUGGCGGCCGCUCAGCCCCGCCGGCGGCGGCGGGCAGGCAGGGGAGCCCAGGAGGGAAGGCGGGAGGCUCCCGCUCCGCCUCCGCCGGGCGGAAGAGGAGCGCUUUACCCGCCGCGGGGGCGGAGGGGCCCGGCCGGUUCCGCUCAGGGCUCUGCCGGCAGAGCCCGUUGGAGAGGCGGCAGCGGCCGGCGGCCAACGCGAGCCUUCUGCCAGGCAGGCACCCUCCCUCCGCUCCCGGUGCGGGACCGGCGCUGCCCCGUCCUCCUCGAGCGCCUGCGAGGAGGAGGAGGAGGAGGAGGAGAAGGGGGGGGGGGUGCGGCUGGAGUCCGUCACCCGUCCGCAUCCGCAACGCUUGGUCGCUGCUGUGCUCCUCUGCGUGCUGGCCGCACCCAUCUUCAGGUAACUUUCUGCGGGAUUUCACCCGGAACUCCCAACUCUCUCCUUGA
rnacentral:lncRNA from 1 species